CGGAGAAUGAUUCCCGAAAAGACAUUUCAAUCAAAAACAAGAAAGAUUCUAUUCAUUAGCGUAAUUUAAGUCCAGGCAGUUUGAACAGAAGCGAGAACUGUUUUCUCUAUAUUCGUCUAUAUCAAAAUGUCUUCGAGAGCUGAAGUUCGGCGAAGGAGAAAUGUCAGUGGAGCAUUAUCAGGAACCAACACUGUCGCAUCUGGUACAAUUGGGAUACAAGAAGGCACAUACCUUGAAACAGCAGGAGUACCGACCGCUAUGGAUCAGACGUACUCUUUAAGAGUACGAAGACCAAUUCAAGAAAGCGUAGCACUUUCUGAACACAUGAGAGAUAGCGAAAGAGAUCCACUAUUACUGUAAAAAUAAUUUACAGUUGGGAUGGCGAACAAGGAAUGCUUAAACAAUUGAAUAUCAACAAUCAGAAUACUGAAUAACCGUUGAUAAAUUGGUUUGAAUUGAUUUGUGCCAACACCAAGCUUUCGCAUUGUUCGUCUAAGUGGAUUCUUUAAUUUAAUGCUAGGCUAUUUAUUAUUGCCAGGAAAAAAUCAAGGUUAAAUUUUGUGCCU